rnacentral:rRNA from 1 species
GACGAACGCUGGCGGCGUGCUUAACACAUGCAAGUCGAACGGAAAGGCCCUGCGCUUGUGCGUUGCUCGAGUGGCGAACGGGUGAGUAACACGUGAGUAACCUCCCCCUGUCUUUCGGAUAACAUCACGAAACUCGGGCUAAUACCCGAUAGGAUCUCCUGCUGCAUGGGGUGGGUUGGAAAGUUUCGGCGGUUGUGGAUGGACUCGCGGCUUAUCAGCUUGUUGGUGUGGUAGUGGCUUACCAAGGCUUUGACGGGUAGCCGGCCUGAGAGGGUGACCGGCCACAUUGGGCCUGAGGUACGGCGCAGAAUGGAACGGGAGGCAGCGGUGGGGAGUAUUGCGGAAUGGGCGGACGCGAGAUGCAGAGACGCCGGGUGCGGGAUGCCGGGCUACGGGUGGAAAACCACUUUGGCCUGAAACGAAGCGGGCGUGACGGUAAUGGGUAAGGAAGCAACGGCUAACUACGUG